GGUUUCAAGAUUUUUCAAAGUUCAAUUGUAAGUGCAUUUAAGCCCCGUUUUUAAUGUUCUUCGUAUUUUUGAGAUCCUAGAAGCUUAACCUUUCUAUUUUUACUAUUUAUUUGCAUGAAAAAUGAAGUUUAAAAAUUGACCCAUGCUAGAUAUUUGUGCAUUUUGAUGUUUAAUGAUAGAAUAAGGGUGCACGAGGUUAGGAGAACGAUUUUUGCUAAGUGAUUUUCGUUGAAAAUGGUUAAAACGGGUUAAUUAGUAAAAGUUGUAAAUGCUCCUAAAAGUUGUAAAUAAUAAGAAUUUGAGGUUUCUUUAGAAGAGAAAAAGGUUUGGAUGACCUUGAAUGUUAUGGAAAUUGAAUAAAAAUCAUAUUACGAGCCUAGGGGAAAAAUUGUAAUUAUGAGAAAGUUUAGGGGCAAAAUUGUAAAUUUUCCGUAGUAUGAUUUUUGUAUUAAAAUGAGUAAUGUGAGUGAUAAUUAAGUGAAAUGUGACAUUUUAGAUCGAAGAAAUCGAGAUUUGGACUAAGUACGAGGAAAUAUAAAUCAAAAUGAUCGAUUCGCGUUGAGGAAAGUUCAUAUGGUUAGUCUAAGUGAUCGAUUAUUAAAUUUGAAUUGAGAUGAUGUUUUAUUUUAUAUAUAUUUGUUAUUUAAUCAUGACUUUAUUUUAGAUUGAAGGAUCAAUCGUGAGAAAUGCAGGGUCAAGUACAUUCGUACUACAACUCAUUAGGAAUUGAUGGAAAAGUCCAUGGUUGGACCAUGGCAGUGAGUGUGCCAGUGUAAGACCAUGUCUGGGACAUGGCAUCGGCACAGACCGAGGAGUGCUAGUGUAAGACCAUGUCUGGGACAUGGCAUCGGCACGGACAUAGGAGAGCCAGUGUAAGACCAUGUCUGGGACAUGGCAUCGGCUCGAGAUGAGGGCCAAAGUAAGACCAUGUCUGGGACAUGACAUCGGCAUCGAUAUGUGAUCCCAUGUAAGACCAUAUAUGGGAUAUGGCAUUGGCGUCCUACUAGGUGUACGAAAUAUCCCGAACAUCCCUAAUAUUACAAGUAGUUCAACGGGAAAUUUAAGGAGUAUGCUCAAGAUAAGUAAGAGUAGGAUAUGUGAGUAUUAUGACUAGGCACAGGUAUGUAUAUGAGACUCAUAAAUAAUGUGCUCAGAUUAUGAUGCAUUAUUAAUAAGGAUGCAAACGAGUAAGUUUGUAUGUGAUUAAUUCCUUAUUUUUACUUACGUUUUAAUUAUGAGAUAUGAUUGAAUAUGGAAUAAUUACUUGAGGUGAAUAAUGAAUUACGGUUGAAUAUGGAAGAGUUGGAAAAAGGUUUAAAAUAUAUAUAUGAGAAUUUGUGGUUGAACCUUCGGAAUGGAUCGGAUAUCGUUGGAAAUAUAGGUGAAUGCUAUUCGCCGAUUCCACCGGAUAUUAAUGAAAAUAAAGGUGAUUGCUAUGUGCUGAUUUCACUGGAUACCAAUGGUUAUAUAAGUGAUUGCUAUGUGUUGAAUUCACCCUGUACCAUUGAGUAUAAAAGUAGUUGCUAUGUGCUGAUUUCACUGAGUACUAUUGAUUAUAAGGGUGGUGUUGUGUGCUGAUCUACCGUGUAACUGAGAUUAUUUCAAAGUGUUCAUUGGGAAACUAAUUAAGUGAAAACAUAUUGUAACACCCCUAACCCGUCUCCGUCGCCGAAUCAGGGUUACGAGGCAUUACGAAACCAAGCUCACAUAAACAUAACUUUAAUAUCUAAUUCCAAAUGCAAGUCCAAUUCAUGAACAUAUAUAAUCAAAUUCAAGCAUGGAAGUUAAACUCUUUUCGCAUUGCUAUUUACACAAUAGGAUUCAAAAUUAUCCAAAACAUUAUCAAGCCUAUACAUGCCAUAAGAUCGAGUUCAAAUAUUUAACAAAAUACCAAAAAAAAGUCGAUAGUGUGAUGGGCGGUGCUGAUGAUCCCCGAGCUCGUAACGCGUCUCCAAAAAAAAAAUCUAUAAAAACGAAUGAACGAAAGCAAACAAAGUAAGCUUUUAUAGCUUAGUAAGUCUACAGCAUAUCUAUAAUACAUAUAAAAGAAUCAUAUAAUUCUUUAAGUAAAUUUAUUGAAAUUACAAUCAUCAAAUAUGAUUACUAAUCAAACACUACUUUAUUGAGUCAUUUUGUUUAAGUCUAAAAGGAUGUAUAUUUAUCUAAUACACAUAAACGGACAAAUGUAUAUACAUUAUAUGCAUAUAAUCAAGUUACUAGCAUAAUCCUUAACAGCAUAUACUGAUUUCUAGAGUACUUAUUGUUCGCACUUCAUCGAAUCCAUUUAAAUACAACUAUUCAACUACAUAUAUCAAAAGCCAAAUUUUUAUGCUUAUCAUCCAUAAAUGCCGAAUGCACAUAUGCACCUAUACCCAUCUAUGCCGAAUGCAUAGAUACAUACACUUAUUUUCACCUAUGCCGAAUGCAUACACAUAAAUAUAUUCACCUAUGCCGAAUGCAACAUAUAUAUAUAUACAUAUCUAUCAAUUGCUUAGACCAAAUAUAUGUAUAUAUAUAUGCUCAUCAAGUUAAUAUGACUAAAAUCAUGUGAUUGAACAUUUAUGUAUACAUCGAUUUCAUAUAAUCAAAAUCAUAGAGGUAUCAAUUGUAUAUUAUCACAUGCUUUAAACGGAUUCACCGGCAUUUAGCCUGCUAGGUUUUAAAACCUGAUUCAAUACACCGGCUCUUAGCCUGCUAGACUUAUAGUCCGAAAUGUGUCACCGGCAUUAAGCCUGCUAGACUUAUAGUCUGAAAUGUGUCACCGGCAUUAAGCCUGCUAGACUUAUAGCCUGAAAUGUGUCACCGGCAUUAAGCCUGCUAGACUUAUAGUCUGAAUAAUUUCACCGGCGUUAAGCCUGCUAGACGUAAAGUCUGAAUUAUGUCACUAACGAUAAACCGAAUGAUACUGAGCUUUAACAAAAGAAUCUCAAUUCAUAGGAGUUGUAUAUCAUAAUGGUAUAUAGAAUUCACAUAAAAAUUCAGCUCAAUAAUUUAUAAACUAUAUCCUUAACCCACAUCGGUAUAAAAAGUUCAAUCAUCAAAUUCAACUCAAUAUCUAAAUUAUACAUCCGAAUAUAUAUAUAUAUAUAUAACUUAACACAUUGAAGCAUACUAUUAAUAUCGUACUUUCGAACACAUUAAGAUAAUCCAAGCUAAUAAUUUCAUCUCUUCAACCCCGUUCAAGAACCUUUACAAGAACAUACAUACCUAAUCGAAUCUCCCUUUUUCAUAUAUAAGUUUCAUACUUAAAUUUAUCACAAGAACAUAUACAUGCAUAGUUGCAUAGUCGAACCCCUUAUAAACUUGUAUAAAUGGCAUACCUAAGUUCAAUACGAGAACAUAUAGAUGUAGAUUUGCAUAAUAUAUAUAUAAUUCACUCAUACUUUUAAUUAUUUCAACUAUCAUAUUUUUAAUUAUAAUUCAUCCAAAAACAGCUCAUAUACUUAUUUAUAUACUGAUUUUAUGACAUUAAAUAGCUAAUAGACUUACCUCGGAUAUCAGCAAACACGAUCGACUAUUCAAUUAUCUUCGACUUCCCCCGAUCCAAAUUCGUUUUCUUCGUUCCUUGAUCUAAACAUAGUCAAAUUUAACCUUUUUAUUCAUCAAAACAUUCAUUUGAGUCCAACAAUACAUAAAUGGGAAAAUUACCAUUUUGCCCCUAACAUUUUGCACUUUUUGCAAUUUAGUCCUUUUUGCACAAAACACAAAAUACACAAAUUUGCCCAUAACACACAAGGGCCGAAUAUUCAUGGUUCUCAUACAAGUCCGCACAUUGCAUUUAUUUCACAUUUUAGUCCCUCAAAAAUUUAUUUUCACAAUUUAGCCCUAAAUACUCAAAUUCAUCAAAAAUACCAAUACAAAACAUGUUAAUCUAAGACAUAUCUUCCAUUAUUCAUCAUCAAACAUCCCAAAACACAAAUAUUCAUCAAUGGCAUAAUUCAAAAUAUUCAUCAAUUCACAAAAUUAAGACAUGGGUUUUGAAGUAUUCAAAGCAACGAUCUCAAAAACGUAAAAAUCAUCAAAAACCGAACAAAAACUAACCUUGAAUUAAGCUUCAAAAGAUGGCCGAACCUAGCUUAGGUUUCUUUCUUUUUCUUUUCUCUAGUUUCGGUCAAAAUAAGAUGAAAAAUGUGGCUUUUAAUUUGUUUGUCUUUUAAUAUAUUAACAUUAUAAUAUAAUAUAUUAUUAUAACCUUUAUACAUAAUAUAAAAACUAUAAUUUAUAAGCAUAAUGCGAUCCACUAUCUUGAAUAAUGGCCUAAUUUCCUAUUAAGGACUUCACAUUAUAAAGACAUUAGCAAGUUAGCACUUUACACAUUAAUUAGUCAAUUUCACAUUUUAUGCGAUUAAGUCCUUUUAUUAAAUUAAGCACACAAACAAUAAAAUUAAUUCACGAGAUUUUCACACAUGUAAAUUAAAAUAUAAUAAACACAUGAAAUAAUAUUAAAAUAUUUUUUUAACUCGGACUUGUGGUCCCGAAACCACUAUGUCCAAUUAGAGUCAAAAUCGGGCUGUUACAACUCUCCCCCCCUUUAGGGAUUUUCGUCCCCGAAAAUCUUACCGGUGAAUAGGUUUGGAUAACGCUCCUUCAUUGUAUCCUCUGACUCCCAAGUUGCUUCUUCAACUCCGUGUUUAUGCCACAAUACUUUAACUAACGGAAUUUUCUUAUUUCGUAAUUCCUUGAUCUCACGAGCCAGAAUGCUAAUCGGUUCUUCUUCAUAUGACAUAUCAGGGUUAAUUUCAAUCUCCGUCGGACAAAUCACAUGUGAAGGAUCAGAUCGGUAUCUACGGAGCAUCGAAACAUGAAAUACAUUGUGAAUCUUUUCUAACUCAGGUGGUAACAUCAAUCUAUAAGCAACCGGUCCGACACGUUCUAUAAUCUCAUACGGUCCAAUGAAUCUUGGACUCAAUUUGCCUUUACGACCGAAUCUGAGUACUUUCUUCCACGGUGAGACUUUCAAAAACACUUUAUCGCCGAUUUGAAAUUCUAUAUCUUUUCUUCUCAAAUCCGCAUAAGAUUUCUGACGAUCUGAUGCUGAUUUCAGGCUGUCCCGAAUCACUUUCACUUUCUGUUCGGUCUCUUUAAUCAAAUCAACCUCGUGUAUCCUAUUUUCACUGAGCUCGGUCCAAUACAGUGGUGUAUGACAUUUACGACCGUACAAAGCCUCAUAAGGUGCCAUUUUAAUACUAGAUUGAAAGCUGUUAUUAUAAGCAAAUUCAAUCAAAGGUAAAUAUCGUUCCCACGUACCUUCAAACUCGAGAAUGCAACAUCUCAACAUGUCCUCAAGUAUCUGUAUAAUUCGCUCCGAUUGACCAUCUGUUUGCGGAUGGAAAGCUGUGCUAAAAUGUAGUUUCGUACCUAAAGCAUCUUGUAAUUUCUUCCAAAACCGCGAUGUAAAUCUCGGGUCUCUGUCUGAAAUAAUAGAAAUAGGCACUCCGUGCAAUUUUACAAUCUGAGAAAUGUACAAUUCAGCAAGUUUAUCAAGCGAAUAAUCAAUACGAACCGGAAUAAAGUGAGCCGAUUUUGUCAAUCUAUCAACAACAACCCAAAUUGCAUCUUUCUUGCUGGGUGUUAACGGUAAACCGGAUACAAAAUCCAUCGUAACUCUGUCCCAUUUCCAUUCAGGUAUCAUGAUCGGCUGCAGCAAUCCAGAAGGUACCUGAUGCUCGGCUUUUACUUGCUGACAUAUUAAACAUUUCGAAACAAAGUCAGAAAUGUCUCGUUUCAUUCCAUGCCACCAAUAGUGUUGUUUCAGAUCAUUAUACAUUUUCGUGCUACCCGAAUGAACAGAAAAUCGACUAUUAUGGGCUUCAUUCAAAAUCAUCUGAAUUAACUCUGGAUUUUUCGGAACACAUAAUCGGUUUCUGAAUCUCAAACAAUCCUCAGUAUCAACUAGAAACUCUGAAUCAACAUUUAAGUCACACUGAGUUCGUUUUGCAAUUAAAUCAUCAUCGGCUUUUUGCGCUUCACAAAUCUGUUGAACAAAUAACGGUUUUGCUUUCAACUCAGCUACUAUCGCACCAUCAUCAGACAUAACCAUAUGUGCAUUCAUUGUACGCAAAGCAAACAGUGAUUUUCGACUUAGGGCAUCAGCAACAACAUUAGCCUUUCCCGGAUGAUAGUCAAUCACGAGCUCGUAAUCUUUCAACAAUUCUAACCAUCGACGAUGUCUCAAAUUCAGAUAUUUCUGAGUCAUCAAAUAUUUCAAGCUUUUAUGAUCGGAAUAAACAUGACAUCUUUCGCCAAACAGAUAGUGACGCCAUAUUUUUAACGCAAAUACAAUAGCGGCCAAUUCCAGAUCAUGCGUCGGAUAGUUCUUUUCAUGCGGCUUUAACUGUCUCGAGGCAUAGGCUACAACUUUGCCUUCCUGCAUCAAUACACAGCCCAAACCAUUUAAAGAUGCAUCACUAUAGAUUACAAACUCUUUACCCGAUUCGGGUUGAACUAGGACUGGAGCUUUGGUUAAAAGAGCUUUCAACUGAUCGAAACUUUUCUGGCACUUUUCUGACCACUCAAACUUAACGUCUUUUUGUAGUAGCCUUGUCAUCGGGGUCGCAAUCAUAGAAAACCCUUUCACAAAACGUCUAUAAUAGCCAGCGAGCCCCAGAAAGCUUCGAACUUCCGAAACAUUCCUCGGAGGUUUCCAAUCAAGUAUAGCUGAAAUUUUACUCGGAUCAACCCAAAUACCCGAUGCUGAUACAACAUGGCCAUGAAAACUGACUUCACGUAACCAGAACUCACAUUUACUAAACUUUGCAUACAACUGCUUAUCUCGCAAAGUUUGUAACACAAGUCUCAGAUGUUCAGCAUGCUCAUUUUCGUCUCGAGAGUAGAUCAAAAUGUCAUCAAUAAAUACUACCACAAACCGAUCCAGAUACUUCCUAAAGAUCUGAUUCAUCAAAUCCAUGAAAAUAGCAGGUGCAUUAGUAAGUCCGAAAGGCAUAACAAGAAACUCAUAAUGUCCGUACCUCGUUCGGAAAGCAGUCUUUGGCACAUCAAAGUCUUUAACUCGCAACUGAUAGUAGCCUGAUCUCAGAUCUAUCUUUGAAAACACAGUAGCCCCUUUCAACUGAUCGAACAAAUCAUCAAUCCGUGGUAACGGAUACUUAUUCUUUAUAGUCACUUUAUUGAGUUGCCGGUAAUCAAUGCACAUUCUCAUCGUUCCGUCUUUUUUUCUCACAAAUAGAACUGGUGCACCCCAAGGAGAGAAACUCGGUCGUGCAAAACCUUUAUCAGUCAGCUCUUGCAACUGUACUUUCAAUUCUUUUAAUUCAGUCGGUGUCAUACGGUACGGAGCUAUCGAUAUGGGAGUCGUCCCUGGUACUAACUCAAUACCAAACUCUACCUCUCGAAUAGGUGGCAAACCCGGUAAUUCUUCGGGAAACACGUCUGAAUACUCACACACUACUGGUACAGAUUCAAUCUUCUUUUCGGUCACUUUACUAUCAAGAACAAAUGCAAGGUAAGCUUCACAACCCCUUCUCACAUACUUCUGAGCCGACAUCGAGGAUAUUAUUGCUGAUAAACCAUUCAGAUCAUUAGAUUCGAUCCGAAUAAUCUCAUCAUUCUGACACCGUAGAUCAAUAGUUUUCCGUUUGCAGUUUACAAUAGCAUCAUGCAGAGUUAACCAAUCCAUACCCAGAAUUAUAUCGAACUCGUCGAAUGGUAACAACAUCAAAUCAGCUGGAAAACAUAAAUCUCGAAUCAUCAACGGACAAUUCUUGCACACUUUGUCAACCAAAACACACCGGCCCAGGGGGUUCGAUACUUUAAUUACAAACUCAGUAGACUCAACAGGCAAAGUCUUACUGAAUACUAAAGUCUCACACACAUAAGAAUGAGUCGAACCAGGAUCAAUCAAUGCAAUAAUAUUAGUAUCAUAAAGAGUGAAAGUACCAGUAAUAACAUCUGGAGAAGAAGCCUCCUCUCGAGCACGGAUGGCAUAAGCUCUGGCAGGUGCACGGGCCUCAGAUCGAAUUGCUGUGUCCCUGGUUCCUCUCUGACUACCACUUACAUUACUCAAUUGUCUCGGCGGUCUACCUCGGACUGGCACAUUACUCGGUCUGGUAUCCUGCACAGUGUUUUGCUCAGCUACCAUCGGACACUCUCGAAUGAAAUGAUCUUUUGAACCACACUUGAAGCAAGACCGAUCAUGGAAUCUGCAAUCCCCAGGAUGCCAUUUCCCACAAUGCUUGCACUCUGAUCUAUUUUGUCGAACACUACCAACGCUAGCAACUGAAGUAGCUCGUGAACUCACAGGGGGUCGAUCUCGAUCAUACUUAGGAAACCCUGCAGUAGCUUUAGAUUGGCUAUGAUCCGCUCUGAAUUUCCUUGAGGUCGACUGAAAUGAUUUACUGAAUGAUCUUUUACGAGAAUCUCGAGCUUCAUAGUCAGCUUUCCUCUUCUCUUUCCCGAGCUCCUCAGCUUUACAAGCUCGUUCAACAAGUACUACGAACUCUUUUAUCUCAAGUAUACCAACUAACAGUUUAAUAUCUUCAUUCAGCCCAUCUUCAAAUCUUCUACACAUGAUAGCUUCAGUUGAAACACACUCUCGAGCAUAUCUACUAAGUCUCACAAAUUUCCGUUCAUAUUCUGUCACUGUCAUACGAUCCUGUUUCAGUUCAAGAAAUUCCUUAGGUUUCUGAUCAAUAAAUCUCUGGCUGAUGUAUUUCUUACGAAACUCAGUCUGAAAGAAUUCCCAGGUCACUCGCUCUUUCGGAACCACCGAUACUAGUGUAUUCCACCAGUGAUAUGCAGUGUCCCGUAGCAAGGAUAUGGCACAUUUCAAGCACUCAUCAGGGGUGCAAGACAACUCAUCAAACACUCGAAUAGUAUUAUCAAGCCAGAAUUCAGCUCGCUCAGCAUCAUCAUCAUCAGUAGCUCUGAACUCUUCGGCCCCGUGUUUUCGAAUUUUGUCAACCGGAGGCUUAAGUAAUCUCAUCGGAUCACUUACUUGGGGUAUAACAGGAAUCGAAGAUGGAUUAGUCGGGGGUGGAGGUUGUUGUGUAACCGGAUUAGUUCGGACAUAAUGAGUAAACCAGUCAUUCAUCAUUUGGUAGAAGGCUUGUUUAGCCUCUCCCUCCUGGUUACUCGAGAUUGGUCGAGAAUCUACUGGCUCUGUCCCUUGCGCGGGAGCAGGCGCUAUACUCUCAACAUCAUCAGCUACGGCUCGUUCGGGAUCCAUUACUAUACGAAAACACAUUUUUAGACGUCAGCAGUCAUCACACUAUCUCGAUAUAAAAAUAUGGCAUGUAUAGCUAGACUCAUACACGCUACGCUAGUUCCGAGAAUCGACUAAACCGUAGCUCUGAUACCAAUAAAUUGUAACACCCCUAACCCGUCUCCGUCGCCGAAUCAGGGUUACGAGGCAUUACAAAACCAAGCUCACAUAAACAUAACUUUAAUAUCUAAUUCCAAAUGCAAGUCCAAUUCAUGAACAUAUAUAAUCAAAUUCAAGCAUGGAAGUUAAACUCUUUUCGCAUUGCUAUUUACACAAUAGGAUUCAAAAUUAUCCAAAACAUUAUCAAGCCUAUACAUGCCAUAAGAUCGAGUUCAAAUAUUUAACAAAAUACCAAAAAAAAAGUCGAUAGUGUGAUGGGCGGUGCUGAUGAUCCCCGAGCUCGUAACGCGUCUCCAAAAAAAAAAUUUAUAAAAACGAAUGAACGAAAGCAAACAAAGUAAGCUUUUAUAGCUUAGUAAGUCUACAGCAUAUCUAUAAUACAUAUAAAAGAAUCAUAUAAUUCUUUAAGUAAAUUUAUUGAAAUUACAAUCAUCAAAUAUGAUUACUAAUCAAACACUACUUUAUUGAGUCAUUUUGUUUAAGUCUAAAAGGAUGUAUAUUUAUCUAAUACACAUAAACGGACAAAUGUAUAUACAUUAUAUGCAUAUAAUCAAGUUACUAGCAUAAUCCUUAACAGCAUAUACUGAUUUCUAGAGUACUUAUUGUUCGCACUUCAUCGAAUCCAUUUAAAUACAACUAUUCAACUACAUAUAUCAAAAGCCAAAUUUUUAUGCUUAUCAUCCAUAAAUGCCGAAUGCACAUAUGCACCUAUACCCAUCUAUGCCGAAUGCAUAGAUACAUACACUUAUUUUCACCUAUGCCGAAUGCAUACACAUAAAUAUAUUCACCUAUGCCGAAUGCAACAUAUAUAUAUAUAUACAUAUCUAUCAAUUGCUUAGACCAAAUAUAUGUAUAUAUAUGUGCUCAUCAAGUUAAUAUGACUAAAAUCAUGUGAUUGAACAUUUAUGUAUACAUCGAUUUCAUAUAAUCAAAAUCAUAGAGGUAUCAAUUGUAUAUUAUCACAUGCUUUAAACGGAUUCACCGGCAUUUAGCCUGCUAGGUUUUAAAACCUGAUUCAAUACACCGGCUCUUAGCCUGCUAGACUUAUAGUCUGAAAUGUGUCACCGGCAUUAAGCCUGCUAGACUUAUAGUCUGAAAUGUGUCACCGGCAUUAAGCCUGCUAGACUUAUAGCCUGAAAUGUGUCACCGGCAUUAAGCCUGCUAGACUUAUAGUCUGAAUAAUUUCACCGGCGUUAAGCCUGCUAGACGUAAAGUCUGAAUUAUGUCACUAACGAUAAACCGAAUGAUACUGAGCUUUAACAAAAGAAUCUCAAUUCAUAGGAGUUGUAUAUCAUAAUGGUAUAUAGAAUUCACAUAAAAAUUCAGCUCAAUAAUUUAUAAACUAUAUCCUUAACCCACAUCGGUAUAAAAAGUUCAAUCAUCAAAUUCAACUCAAUAUCUAAAUUAUACAUCCGAAUAUAUAUAUAUAUAACUUAACACAUUGAAGCAUACUAUUAAUAUCGUACUUUCGAACACAUUAAGAUAAUCCAAGCUAAUAAUUUCAUCUCUUCAACCCCGUUCAAGAACCUUUACAAGAACAUACAUACCUAAUCGAAUCUCCCUUUUUCAUAUAUAAGUUUCAUACUUAAAUUUAUCACAAGAACAUAUACAUGCAUAGUUGCAUAGUCGAACCCCUUAUAAACUUGUAUAAAUGGCAUACCUAAGUUCAAUACGAGAACAUAUAGAUGUAGAUUUGCAUAAUAUAUAUAUAAUUCACUCAUACUUUUAAUUAUUUCAACUAUCAUAUUUUUAAUUAUAAUUCAUCCAAAAACAGCUCAUAUACUUAUUUAUAUACUGAUUUUAUGACAUUAAAUAGCUAAUAGACUUACCUCGGAUAUCAGCAAACACGAUCGAUUAUUCAAUUAUCUUCGACUUCCCCCGAUCCAAAUUCGUUUUCUUCGUUCCUUGAUCUAAACAUAGUCAAAUUUAACCUUUUUAUUCAUCAAAACAUUCAUUUGAGUACAACAAUACAUAAAUGGGAAAAUUACCAUUUUGCCCCUAACAUUUUGCACUUUUUGCAAUUUAGUCCUUUUUGCACAAAACACAAAAUACACAAAAUUUGCCCAUAACACACAAGGGCCGAAUAUUCAUGGUUCUCAUACAAGUCCACACAUUGCAUUUAUUUCACAUUUUAGUCCCUCAAAAAUUUAUUUUCACAAUUUAGCCCUAAAUACUCAAAUUCAUCAAAAAUACCAAUACAAAACAUGUUAAUCUAAGACAUAUCUUCCAUUAUUCAUCAUCAAACAUCCCAAAACACAAAUAUUCAUCAAUGGCAUAAUUCAAAAUAUUCAUCAAUUCACAAAAUUAAGACAUGGGUUUUGAAGUAUUCAAAGCAACGAUCUCAAAAACGUAAAAAUCAUCAAAAACCGAACAAAAACUAACCUUGAAUUAAGCUUCAAAAGAUGGCCGAACCUAGCUUAGGUUUCUUUCUUUUUCUUUUCUCUAGUUUCGGUCAAAAUAAGAUGAAAAAUGUGGCUUUUAAUUUGUUUGUCUUUUAAUAUAUUAACAUUAUAAUAUAAUAUAUUAUUAUAACCUUUAUACAUAAUAUAAAAACUAUAAUUAUAAGCAUAAUGCGAUCCACUAUCUUGAAUAAUGGCCUAAUUUCCUAUUAAGGACUUCACAUUAUAAAGACAUUAGCAAGUUAGCACUUUACACAUUAAUUAGUCAAUUUCACAUUUUAUGCGAUUAAGUCCUUUUAUUAAAUUAAGCACACAAACAAUAAAAUUAAUUCACGAGAUUUUCACACAUGUAAAUUAACAUAUAAUAAACACAUGAAAUAAUAUUAAAAUAUUUUUUUAACUCGGACUUGUGGUCCCGAAACCACUAUGUCCAAUUAGAGUCAAAAUCGGGCUGUUACACAUAUGUUACGAACAAUGUGUUCGAUCUUUAAUCAACCCUUUGGCAUGAUGAAAUGAGGCAUUGAAAUUAAGAAUGAGUAAAUUUAACAACAAAACAGUUUAGGACAGAAACAAUUGUGUGACUUUGAAAAAUCACCAAAAAUGGUGAAAAUUGAAUUAGAGGUUGUAUGAGAUAUUAAAUUAAAUCUGAGUGAGUCUAUUUUCAUAUAAAUGAAAUAGAGUAAGCAAAAGAGAUAUAUAUUUUGAGAUAUUUGAAUUCUAGCGAGACAGGGAUAGAAUGAAUUCGAAAUCCCCUGUUCCAACUUUGGAAAAUUACUAAAAUUUGUUCAAAAAUAAUUAUAGUUUGUAAUUUACAUGCUUAAAUUUAUAAAUGAGUCUACUUUCAAUAGAAACAAGAAAGGACAUCAUUUGAAUUUUUUGCAAUGAGAUAAUUAAUUUUUAGUGAAGAGGGGUCAGAGUUGUCGAACAGUGAAAUAGGGGAAUAUUUAAUGAAUAAACUGUAUUAAUUGGAUAGACCAAAAAUUCUGAAAUUUCUAUGGUAAUAAAUUAUGUGAGUCUAGUUUCAGGGAAAAUUUACGGUUUUUCAUUUGGAGUUCUGUAGCUCGAGAAAUAAAUAAUUUAGUGACAGUGACUCAAGUAGACAGAUUAAUGUGAAUAUUAGUAAUAAAGUGUAAGCAUGUGAUAUAAUGACUAUAUCAUCAUAAGAAAUUAUUGCGAGGAUUUGUCCACACAAGUUUAAUAAUUUCUCAUUAUUUUCAUAUGAACUUACUAAGCAUUUAUGCUUACUUCCUCUCUCUUUUCCUUUACCUUAUAGUAUCGCCAAGUUAGCUCGGGGAUCGAUGGAGGUCGGAGAUUCGCUCACACUAUCAAUUAGAACACUUGGUAUAUCUAGAUACAUAAAUUUUUGGGUUAUGGCAUGUAUAGUAGGUUUGGUCGUUUUGUCAUAUAUGUCAUAUUUCUUAUGGCCAAUAUUGACGGUUGUUAUACGCCUAUGAUAUGGUUAUUCAUGUAUGUGGUAAUUGCAUAAUUGAAUGUUGUGGAGGUGGUUUACAAAUGAUUUCAUGAAUGACGAUGUGUAUGGGAAUGUGAAUGUAAAAUUGGAUAUUCGGAUGUCCAAUUAUAGUGUGAUACAUGUUGACGAAAUUUUAUGACCCAGUUUUAUAUGUUUAAGAAAUUUUAAGUCUGGUAACACCUCG
rnacentral:lncRNA from 1 species